UCAGGCUGCAUGAGCUUCGUCCAUGAUAGUGGACAUAAUGUAUAAUAUACUACAUGAUAGUGAGACAUAAUGUAUGAUAUACUACAGUUUCGUCUCUAAAAUAAGGUUGAAGGGACCAGCAGAACGGCGGUGAUGAAUGAUGUGGAGUGAGGGUGGCAGCAGAAGCAAGAUUCAAGAUACAGGAGAUUAAUUUUAUCUUUACUUUUCAACGCAUUAACUAAAUAAAAUUAAACGAACUAGUUAUCGAGGGGUUGUAUAACCUUUUGAUCUGGGUUAUAUACGGUAUAUUUGUUUAGGUCAAGCACUCAACCUUAUUGUAAACACUUAACCACUGCUGCCUUCGUUUACGGUUUCUUCUAACUAGAAUUUUCAAGUCGUAUCCGUUUAAAGUUCUCAUUAUUUAGCUUAUAAAUGACGGUGUUCCUUUCUUCAUAAUUUGGGACCUUACAUUUGUCACCAUUAAACUGCAUCUGCCAUGAUUUCAAACAUUAACCGUAACGUAAAAUAAGUGACCAGGCAGCUGUGAUGAAAAUGAUAAUUGAUAGUUAUUGAUGAUAGGGAUGGCGUAGUUGUGGUGGAGAUAGAGUAGCGGGUUAGGUGACAGUGACGGUGAGAGCACCGGUGAUUGUUAUCAGGAAACAAUCACUACUGAGAAAUCAGCACCAAGGCUUAGCAAGUACAGCUUUUAUGGAAUUCGUACCCUCCGUACUGUACAACAACCGUCUACCCUACUACCAGCGGGAUACUGAAAAGAUUUGACGUUCUUGAUUGGGAGUCACGAAGUUACUUCACUGGAGGGCGCCCAGCAGAUUUGCCAGUUUUUCUUCUGCAUGACGGCUAGAUAUUGUCGCAGCCUCUACGUUGUCACACACAUUUCUUAGAUGUCAGAGGUGCAUCGGGACUUUUCUCGUGAGGUCUUUGUCGCUGCUGCUAAGAUCCUGGAGAUGAUGUUAGCUACACUGGAGCUGGAGAGUCGUGCAGAAACUGACGUACUCUCACACAUUGGAAAUUGGUGGUUAGAAGGACUGGUUGCUUUCUGAAAUCAAGGCUAGACAUUAAGAAAGAUGGUGUGCGGAAACAUGGCUGGAUUAAGUCAUCGCCUCCUGCACGGGUGUCCAGAGACUUCCUUUCCCUGCCUCACCUACAAGGUGAUGAGCAAGACUCAUGGGCAACUCCAAAUGCUUUUAAACAUAAAUCAAGGAGGCUUUCGUCACGGCCUAAUGAGUUUCCCUGGAGUGGAACAACCAUUCACUGACACAUCAGGCGGAUAAUGUACUACCGUGAUGACGCAUUACCAACCAAAAAAAAAGGAACCAAUAGAUUUUAACCUAUUCAACUCAACCCGAGAACAUUAGGUAAAUGUAUAAUUUUAUCAUUUAUUUGUCAGAGUAUAUAUGCCUUCCAUCAACUUACCUGCUUGUCCCAGGCAACUCAGCACAUGUACAAUACCACAAACAUCCUAGUCACUUUUAAAAAUAAUUUUUUUUAAUAAUAUAUUAAUCAGCUUCCCAGUAAAUGUUCUAUAGUGACAGGUGUUGUCAGCAAUUUAGCUAAUAGUACAGGUAGUCGCGGAUGUGGUGCAAAAGUAUGGAAAAAUUUCAGCAACAAAUUGUUUCAUAAAA